AGAGUUUGAUCCUGGCUCAGGAUGAACGCUAGCGGGAGGCCUAACACAUGCAAGCCGAGCGGUAUUGUUUCUUCGGAAAUGAGAGAGCGGCGUACGGGUGCGGAACACGUGUGCAACCUGCCUUUAUCUGGGGGAUAGCCUUUCGAAAGGGAGAUUAAUACCCCAUAAUAUUUAGAAUGGCAUCAUUUUAAAUUGAAAACUCCGGUGGAUAGAGAUGGGCACGCGCAAGAUUAGAUAGUUGGUGAGGUAACGGCUCACCAAGUCAACGAUCUUUAGGGGGCCUGAGAGGGUGAUCCCCCACACUGGUACUGAGACACGGACCAGACUCCUACGGGAGGCAGCAGUGAGGAAUAUUGGACAAUGGGUGAGAGCCUGAUCCAGCCAUCCCGCGUGAAGGACGACGGCCCUAUGGGUUGUAAACUUCUUUUGUAUAGGGAUAAACCUACCCUCGUGAGGGUAGCUGAAGGUACUAUACGAAUAAGCACCGGCUAACUCCGUGCCAGCAGCCGCGGUAAUACGGAGGGUGCAAGCGUUAUCCGGAUUUAUUGGGUUUAAAGGGUCCGUAGGCGGAUCUGUAAGUCAGUGGUGAAAUCUCACAGCUUAACUGUGAAACUGCCAUUGAUACUGCAGGUCUUGAGUGUUGUUGAAGUAGCUGGAAUAAGUAGUGUAGCGGUGAAAUGCAUAGAUAUUACUUAGAACACCAAUUGCGAAGGCAGGUUACUAAGCAACAACUGACGCUGAUGGACGAAAGCGUGGGGAGCGAACAGGAUUAGAUACCCUGGUAGUCCACGCCGUAAACGAUGCUAACUCGUUUUUGGUUUUUCGGAAUCAGAGACUAAGCGAAAGUGAUAAGUUAGCCACCUGGGGAGUACGUUCGCAAGAAUGAAACUCAAAGGAAUUGACGGGGGCCCGCACAAGCGGUGGAUUAUGUGGUUUAAUUCGAUGAUACGCGAGGAACCUUACCAAGGCUUAAAUGGGAAAUGACAGGUUUAGAAAUAGACUUUUCUUCGGACAUUUUUCAAGGUGCUGCAUGGUUGUCGUCAGCUCGUGCCGUGAGGUGUUAGGUUAAGUCCUGCAACGAGCGCAACCCCUGUCACUAGUUGCCAUCAUUAAGUUGGGGACUCUAGUGAGACUGCCUACGCAAGUAGAGAGGAAGGUGGGGAUGACGUCAAAUCAUCACGGCCCUUACGCCUUGGGCCACACACGUAAUACAAUGGCCAGUACAGAGG
rnacentral:rRNA from 1 species